UGAGGAAUAUUGGUCAAUGGGCGCAAGCCUGAACCAGCCAUGUCGCGUGCAGGAAGACGGCCCUACGGGUUGUAAACUGCUUUUGUACGGGAAGAAAUAUAUCUACGAGUAGAUAUUUGCCGGUACCGUACGAAUAAGGAUCGGCUAACUCCGUGCCAGCAGCCGCGGUAAUACGGAGGAUCCGAGCGUUAUCCGGAUUUAUUGGGUUUAAAGGGUGCGUAGGCGGAAUGGUAAGUCAGUGGUGAAAUACUGCAGCUUAACUGUAGCAUUGCCAUUGAUACUGUCAUUCUUGAGUACAGUUGAGGUAGGCGGAAUGUGGUGUGUAGCGGUGAAAUGCUUAGAUAUACCACAGAACACCGAUUGCGAAGGCAGCUUACUAAACUGACACUGACGCUGAAGCACGAAAGCGUGGGGAUCAAACAGG
rnacentral:rRNA from 2 species